UACGUAGGGUGCGAGCGUUGUCCGGAAUUAUUGGGCGUAAAGAGCUCGUAGGCGGUGUGUCACGUCGGCCGUGAAAACCUGCAGCUUAACUGUGGGCGUGCGGUCGAUACGGGCAUCACUGGAGUUCGGCAGGGGAGACUGGAAGUUCCUGGUGUAGCGGUGAAAUGCGCAGAUAUCAGGAGGAACACCGGUGGCGAAGGCGGGUCUCUGGGCCGAUACUGACGCUGAGGAGCGAAAGCGUGGGGAGCGAACAGG
rnacentral:rRNA from 1 species